rnacentral:rRNA from 1 species
CUUGUACACACCGCCCGUCACACCAUGGGAGCGGGUUCUGCCAGAAGUAGUUAGCCUAACCGCAAGGAGGGCGAUUACCACGGCAGGGUUCGUGACUGGGGUG